UACGUAGGUGGCGAGCGUUAUCCGGAUUUACUGGGCGUAAAGUGAGCGCAGACGGUUCUUCAAGUCAGUUGUUAAAUCUCUCGGCCUAACCGGGUGAGCGCAUCUGAUACUGUUGAACUAGAGGACAACAGAGGGAAGUGGAACUCCCGGUGUAGUGGUGGAAUGCGUAGAUAUCGGGAAGAACACCAGUGGCGAAGGCGGCUUCCUAGGUUGUUUCUGACGUUCAUGCUCGAAGGUGUGGGGAGCGAACAGG
rnacentral:rRNA from 1 species